rnacentral:tRNA from 1 species
GGAGAGAUGUCCGAGAGGCCGAAGGAGCACGCUUGGAAAGUGUGUGUAUCCGUGAGGGUACCGUGGGUUCGAAUCCCACUCUCUCCG